GCUGGGCUACAGCAGUGAUUUGGUGAAGUUUUGUCAAAUAAAUGAAUAUACAUGAGAAGGGCAAGCUGAAGGGCAAGCAAUGACACACAGGAAGAGUGAACAAAGGCAAAAGGAGAGGAGGGAGAGCAAAAAUAGAAAAGGAGAGAGAGAUCAGCUGACGGGCUGGGGAGACAAGCACAGAAGGCAAGACAAUGAUGGCAGAGGACGAAGAAACACAGCCAGAGGAAGCAAGGAGACGGAAGGAAUUAAGAUUCCUUGAAGAAAUGGCUGAUUCCAUGGCUGGGGCAAAGUAAAUACAAGAUGAAUUGAGGACAUCUGAUUAUGCCAAGGUCAAAAUAGUUCAAAAGGCUUAUGAAGAAUUUCACCCACCCACCAGGUUUACUGUUACUCCCCAGAGGAUACCAGAAUAUGCAAGAUAAAGACUUAACUCACAUAAACUAUCUACACAGUAAGUGAGGUUGACAG